CACAUUACUUAGACAUUUUACAACAAAACAAAACGAAGAUAUGUUGAGGCAAAAAAGAAGACGCAGUUGGAAAAUGAAGUGAUUAGUACGAAGUAGCAGCGCAGGCACAUUUGGAAAAUUAUGCCGAUAAGCAAGAUAAAAUUUGGGGAAAAAUGUUAUUAAUCGAGUGGCCUUCUCAACGUGCUAAGUUACAAGUUAAGAUGACUGCCACCACAGCCGGUAGGAAGCCCGAAGCAAAGGGCAAACAACCUUCUACGAAGCUGCCUGCUGUCCCCGAGUCGUAGCUGAAGUUCAGCAAGAAGCAGGUCAGCAAACGUGCUACCCUGAUCAAUCGUAAACUAAAGCGC